rnacentral:rRNA from 1 species
UUAAGUUAAUAAGGGCGCACGGUGGAUGCCUUGGCACUAGAAGCCGAUGAAGGACGUGACUAACGACGAAAUGCUUUGGGGAGCUGUAAGUGAGCAAUGAUCCAGAGAUGUCCGAAUGGGGGAACCCGGCAGGUAAUGCCUGUCACUCAUUACUGUUAAGGUAAUGUAGAGGAAGACGCAGUGAACUGAAACAUCUAAGUAGCUGUAGGAAGAGAAAGCAAAAGCGAUUGCCUUAGUAGCGGCGAGCGAAACGGCAAGAGGGCAAACCGAAGAGUUUACUCUUCGGGGUUGUAGGACUGCAACGUGGACUUAAAGAUUAUAGAAGAACUACCUGGGAAGGUAGGCCAAAGAGAGUAAUAGCCUCGUAUUCGAAAUAGUCUUUAUACCUAGCAGUAUCCUGAGUACGGCGAGACACGAGAAAUCUCGUCGGAAUCUGGGAGGACCAUCUCCCAACCCUAAAUACUCUCUAGUGACCGAUAGUGAACCAGUACCGUGAGGGAAAGGUGAAAAGCACCCCGGGAGGGGAGUGAAAUAGAACCUGAAACCGUGUGCCUACAACAAGUUCGAGCCCGUUAAUGGGUGAGAGCGUGCCUUUUGUAGAAUGAACCGGCGAGUUACGAUAUGAUGCGAGGUUAAGUUGAAGAGACGGAGCCGUAGGGAAACCGAGUCUUAAUAGGGCGCAUUAGUAUCAUGUCGUAGACCCGAAACCAUGUGACCUACCCAUGAGCAGGUUGAAGGUGAGGUAAAACUCACUGGAGGACCGAACCAGGGCACGUUGAAAAGUGCUUGGAUGACUUGUGGGUAGCGGAGAAAUUCCAAACGAACUUGGAGAUAGCUGGUUCUCUCCGAAAUAGCUUUAGGGCUAGCGUCGAUGUUAAGUCUCUUGGAGGUAGAGCACUGUUUGGGUGAGGGGUCCAUCCCGGAUUACCAAUCUCAGAUAAACUCCGAAUGCCAAUGAGAUAUAAUCGGCAGUCAGACUGCGAGUGCUAAGAUCCGUAGUCGAAAGGGAAACAGCCCAGACCACCAGCUAAGGUCCCAAAAUAUAUGUUAAGUGGAAAAGGAUGUGGGGUUGCACAGACAACUAGGAUGUUAGCUUAGAAGCAGCUAUUCAUUCAAAGAGUGCGUAAUAGCUCACUAGUCGAGUGACCCUGCGCCGAAAAUGUACCGGGGCUAAAACAUAUUACCGAAGCUGUGGAUACCUUUAUAGGUAUGGUAGGAGAGCGUUCUAUGUGCGAAGAAGGUGUACCGUGAGGAGUGCUGGAGCGCAUAGAAGUGAGAAUGCCGGUAUGAGUAGCGAAAGACAGGUGAGAAUCCUGUCCACCGUAAGACUAAGGUUUCCAGGGGAAGGCUCGUCCGCCCUGGGUUAGUCGGGACCUAAGGAGAGACCGAAAGGUGUAUCCGAUGGACAACAGGUUGAUAUUCCUGUACUAGAGUAUAUAGUGAUGGAGGGACGCAGUAGGCUAACUAAACCAGACGAUUGGAAGUGUCUGGCCAAGCAGUGAGGUGUGAUAUGAGUCAAAUGCUUAUAUCUUUAACAUUGAGCUGUGAUGGGGAGCGAAGUUUAGUAGCGAAGUUAGUGAUGUCACACUGCCGAGAAAAGCUUCUAGCGUUAAUUAUACUCUACCCGUACCGCAAACCGACACAGGUAGUCGAGGCGAGUAGCCUCAGGUGAGCGAGAGAACUCUCGUUAAGGAACUCGGCAAAAUGGCCCCGUAACUUCGGGAGAAGGGGCGCUGACUGAUGGUCAGCCGCAGUGAAUAGGCCCAAGCAACUGUUUAUCAAAAACACAGCUCUCUGCUAAAUCGUAAGAUGAUGUAUAGGGGGUGACGCCUGCCCGGUGCUGGAAGGUUAAGAGGAGUGCUUAGCGUAAGCGAAGGCAUGAAUUGAAGCCCCAGUAAACGGCGGCCGUAACUAUAACGGUCCUAAGGUAGCGAAAUUCCUUGUCGGGUAAGUUCCGACCCGCACGAAAGGCGUAAUGAUUUGGGCACUGUCUCAACGAGAGACUCGGUGAAAUUUUAGUACCUGUGAAGAUGCAGGUUACCCGCGACAGGACGGAAAGACCCCAUGGAGCUUUACUGCAGUUUGAUAUUGAGUAUCUGUACCACAUGUACAGGAUAGGUAGGAGCCUAUGACCUCGGGACGCCAGUUUCGAGUGAGGCGUUGUUGGGAUACUACCCUUGUGUUAUGGCUACUCUAACCCAGAUAGGUUAUCCCUAUCGGAGACAGUGUCUGACGGGCAGUUUGACUGGGGCGGUCGCCUCCUAAAAGGUAACGGAGGCGCCCAAAGGUUCCCUCAGAAUGGUUGGAAAUCAUUCGCAGAGUGUAAAGGUAUAAGGGAGCUUGACUGCGAGAGCUACAACUCGAGCAGGGACGAAAGUCGGGCUUAGUGAUCCGGUGGUUCCGUAUGGAAGGGCCAUCGCUCAACGGAUAAAAGCUACCCUGGGGAUAACAGGCUUAUCUCCCCCAAGAGUUCACAUCGACGGGGAGGUUUGGCACCUCGAUGUCGGCUCAUCACAUCCUGGAGCGGAAGUACGUUCCAAGGGUUGGGCUGUUCGCCCAUUAAAGUGGUACGCGAGCUGGGUUCAGAACGUCGUGAGACAGUUCGGUCCUUAUCUGUCGCAGGCGAAGGAUAUUUGAGGGGAGUUGACCUUAGUACGAGAGGACCAGGUUGAACUUACCAAUGGUGUAUCAGUUGUCGUACCAACGGCACGGCUGAGUAGCUAAGUAGGGAAGGGAUAAACGCUGAAAGCAUCUAAGUGUGAAGCCCACCCCAAGAUAAGAUAUCCCAUACCGUAAGGUAGUAAGAUUCCACGUAGACUAUGUGGUAGAUAGGUUGGAGGUGUAAGUGCAGUAAUGCAUUAAGCUGACCAAUACUAAUAAAUCGAGGGCUUAACCAC